UCAUGUUCAUCAUUGACCUCUGCAGUCCCUCCCUCUGUGAUGUAGAGCUCUGUGUAGAUCUGAUUCAGAGGGGUUGGGUUUCCUGCUUUAGCGAUCCCCUCAAACACACACUGGAACUUCUUCUGAAGGUUGGAUUUGAGGUGAAGUUGGCACAUGGCAGGAGAUUCUGAAGGUAAAAGUUACACCAUUGAGCAUUCUCUCAAAGAAAUAUAAAAGAAAAAGAAAACAACAAAAGGCAUGGAGUAGAUAAAUGUCCAUAAUGAAGAUAAACAUGAGUAAUAUACACAAGAAGGGAAAAGUAUUUCUAUUUUAACUUAAUUUCUUCAAGGAGUUGCCUGUUUAGCCAACAGAAACUUUGCAAACCUGACUGACAGCCUGACUGACUACGGGAUAGUGAGUCCCUUUGUAAUGGUGAGUUAUCACUAAAGACAAGGUCAGUGCAAAGCCACACAAUUUUGUGUGUUUACGUGAGCUGAAAUAUUCAACUUUCAGCAAAAAAUGUGUUUGUCUCAGGGUUUUGCAUGGGGAGGGCCAGGUAAGUGAAGUUGGGCAGCUGUUGCUCAGCUGCUCAAGGCUGGACCACUCUGGAAAACUUUUAGGAUUAAAAAGUGGACUUAUCUUUACUCCUGUUCAUCAACUUGACUGCAGCAGUGAUCCACAGAGGUGCCACAACUUGUCAGGUGUUUGUUUUGUAAUGCUGACUGCUGACUCAAGGGUUA